GUCCCUAUAGCGCAAUGGAUAGCGUACGCGUAUUGGACUUCUAAUCCAAAGGUUGUGGGUUCGAAUCCCACCUGGGAUG